rnacentral:rRNA from 1 species
AUGCAGUCGACGAACCUUCGGGUUAGUGGCGGACGGGUGAGUAACGCGUGAGAAUCUGCCCUCAGGAGGGGGAUAACAGUUGGAAACGACUGCUAAUACCCCAUAUGCCGAGAGGUGAAACGAAUUUUGCCUGGGGAUGAGCUCGCGUCUGAUUAGCUUGUUGGUGGGGUAAAAGCCUACCAAGGCUUCGAUCAGUAGCUGGUCUGAGAGGACGAUCAGCCACACUGGGACUGAGAUACGGCCCAGACUCCUACGGGAGGCAGCAGUGGGGAAUUUUCCGCAAUGGGCGCAAGCCUGACGGAGCAACGCCGCGUGAGGGAUGAAGGCCUUUGGGCUGUAAACCUCUUUUCUCAAGGAAGAAGAUCUGACGGUACUUGAGGAAUAAGCCACGGCUAAUUCCGUGCCAGCAGCCGCGGUAAUACGGGAGUGGCAAGCGUUAUCCGGAAUUAUUGGGCGUAAAGCGUCCGCAGGCGGCCGUUUAAGUCUGUUGUUAAAUCGUGGAGCUCAACUCCAUCACGGCAAUGGAAACUGUUCGGCUUGAGUAUGGUAGGGGCAGAGGGAAUUUCCGGUGUAGCGGUGAAAUGCGUAGAUAUCGGGAAGAACACCAGUGGCAAAAGCGCUCUGCUGGGCCAUUACUGACGCUCAUGGACGAAAGCCAGGGGAGCGAAAGGGAUUAGAUACCCCUGUAGUCCUGGCCGUAAACGAUGAACACUAGAUGUUGGGGGAAUCGACCCCUCCGGUGUCGUAGCUAACGCGUUAAGUGUUCCGCCUGGGGAGUACGCACGCAAGUGUGAAACUCAA